rnacentral:rRNA from 1 species
CAUUCCAAAUUUCACACCCUGUGCACUUUUUGUAGGCCGACUUUAAAAAGUUGGUCUAUGUUUUUAAUAACACCCAAAGAAGUUUAGAAUGUUUAUUUGUAGCUUGCUUGCAAGCUUAAAAAUUAUACAACUUUCAACAACGGAUCUCUUGGCUCUCGCAUCGAUGAAGAACGCAGCGAAAUGCAAUAAGUAAUGUGAAUUGCAGAAUUCAGUGAAUCAUCGAAUCUUUGAACGCACCUUGCGCUCCUUGGUAUUCCGAGGAGCAUGCCUGUUUGAGUGUCAUUAAAUUCUCAAUCUCCUCAUACUAUUUUGUUUGUGGGAGGCUUGGAUUUGGAGUGUUGCUGGCUUUUUUGAAUCAGCUCCUCUUAAAUAUAUCAGCGUGUACCCUUUGUGGAUAGGCUUUUGGUUUGAUAAUUAUCAUAUAUGCCAUUGCCGUGAAGCAAAUGUCAGCUCUCUAAUAGUCCUUCUAGGACAACUUGAUAUUUUGACCUCAAAUCAGGUAGGACUACCCGCUGAACUUAAGCAUAUCAAUAAGCGGAGGA